rnacentral:lncRNA from 1 species
AAAAUUUGUAACAUUGCAUUUAAGGGUAUAUGGCCCUGCUUACAGUUUCAAACAUUCAAGGUAAAUUGCUAUGAAAAACAAUAAUCAAAUUGUGCCGAAGUUAUAAAAUAGCAUUCAUAUUUCAUAGUACUACUUCAAUCAGUAACCAUCAAUCUUGUUACAACUUGUUCCAAAUAAUUAUCUUGUUGAUUCCCCAGUGAAGAACAAAAACAGUCAAGCAGAAUAAAAUAACUUUAGCUAUCACCCUUCUAAAAAUGAAACCAAUAAGAAGCAACGACAAGAAAUUCCCAUCAAAAUUCACCUCGAGAUGAAAUGUUCUCCCCUUUUUUCUCUUCCUUCAUCCUUUGAGAAGCAUCCUCAUUAUUAGAAUCAGAAUCUUGCAAAAACAAACAAUAAGAUCCAUUAAAACAUUACAAACCAAGAUCUAUAACACAACACAUUCCAUUCGAAAAAAAAAUUAAAAUGAUUCAUCAUAAGUAGUACAAAGAUCAAGUAGGUAUACCUUUGUUGUCUUCAACAUUCUCUUUCAACUGAUCAGGAGAAACAGGAGGAGUGAUCUUCUUGACCGUGGAGUGAGUAACAGUAGCUAGAUAUUAAACAUAUACUUAUACAGUAGAUGCAAGAUUACAAGUUUAGAACACAACAACAUCAACACAUUAUGUAUGUAGAAUGGAAAAAAAUUGGAAGUUUUUUUAAUCAAAUACUUAAACUCAAAAACACCCAAUAUCAGAUUAUAUCAUUAUCACAAUGUAAAUGUAAUGGGGGUACGAUUUAAGAAGAUGAACAAACUAAAACUGCAAAUAUUUGAAAUCUGAAACAAAACCCAAAUACCCAUUUUUAGAUCUUAUUAUUACCUUUCUUGUCACUAGAAGAAGGAGUGGUCGUGGUCUUCUUCUUCUCGAUGGCAUUAAUAGAUUUGAGAGAAGAAACACGAAGUGGAUGAUGAUGAUGAUGAAAAAGACUAGAACUUGGGAUCGGAGAAGAAAUAACCACAGAAGA